rnacentral:rRNA from 1 species
GAUCAACGCUGGCGGCGUGCAUGAGACAUGCAAGUCGAACGGACACACGGGGCUUGCUUCGUGUGUUAGUGGCGGACGGCUGAGUAACGCGUAGGUGACCUGCCCCGAAGUGGGGAAUAACUGCCCGAAAGGGUGGCUAAUACCGCAUGUGGUGAUGUGUUCAUUCGCAUCAGUAAAGCCGCAAGGCGCUUUGGGAGGGGCCUGCGUCCGAUUAGCUCGUUGGUGGGGUAACGGCUCACCAAGGCGACGAUCGGUAGGUGGUCUGAGAGGACGAUCACCCAGACUGGGACUGAGACACGGCCCAGACUCCUACGGGAGGCAGCAGUCGGGAAUUUUGCGCAAUGGACGAAAGUCUGACGCAGCAACGCCGCGUGAGGGAUGACGGCCUUCGGGUUGUAAACCUCUUUUGUCAGGGAAGAUAAUGACGGUACCUGGCGAAUAAGCCACGGCUAACUACGUGCCAGCAGCCGCGGUAAUACGUAGGUGGCAAGCGUUGUCCGGAUUUACUGGGCGUAAAGAGCGCGCAGGCGGUCGUUCAAGUCGCGUGUGAAAGCCCCCGGCUCAACUGGGGAGGGUCACGCGAUACUGAUCGACUCGAAGGCAGGAGAGGGUAGUGGAAUUCCCGGUGUAGUGGUGAAAUGCGUAGAUAUCGGGAGGAACACCAGUGGCGAAGGCGACUACCUGGCCUGUUCUUGACGCUGAGGCGCGAAAGCUAGGGGAGCAAACGGGAUUAGAUAUCCUGGUAGUCCACGCCGUAAACGAUGAGAACUAGGUGUAGCGGG